rnacentral:lncRNA from 9 species
GCCGUGUAGACCUGAGGGAGGUGAGAGGCGCGGGUAAGCUCCCCGCGUCUCUUUUCCAACCGGAUGUUCGGAAGCCCAGAGGAGUCUUCGCACUCUCUGUGGCUCUUGAGACACGGCUCAAGACUCCUCCAGACUCCUUUCAGGGCCCUUAAUGCACCUGACUUGUUUGAGCUCCAAAUGGGACCCAGUGACAGCCCGUGCUUCAGCCCCUCGAGGAGAGAAUCCAAAAAGCCAAGAUGGCCUUUCUCCAGGAGAGGAGUGCUGACAUUCUGUGGUCCCGUGGGUCAGACUGUGGCUCAGGAAUGGCUCUUCACCCUUUCGUGGCUCAUAGACAAGAUGUACAGUCUGUUCUCAUGCAUGUCGAACAGCAAAAGAUGCUAAGACUACCAAAGGCGGGUUGUUGAAAGAAAUCAUGUUUGAAAAUCCUGAUUCUAACAACUUUAAGCAGGGCAAAGACAAACACAAAUACAUAUCCAAUCUGGAAGACUGCCUCUCCUCUCUGAAGACUAUAAGACUUCAGGGAUCAUGAGUUCCACAGCCUGAAGGUAUCUCAUACCUGUUUUCUGUGUUGCACACCUUCUUAUUUUUGUUGGUGUUAGUCAUUAAAUUGUCAGAUUAUUGUCUUUUUCAUAACAGCAGAGAAGGAGAGAAGUCCAGACUUGGGCAGAAUGAGAUCUGCUCUCUAAAGCACACUGACACCUCAGGAAAAUCAUUUUAUCCUAAAGAAAGUAAUGACUGUGAAAGCACUUUGUAGACCAUGAAGCCUUAUAUGAAUGUUAAUAGUUGUUACAACUGUUCCCCUCUCUAGGCCUUAAUCUCCUCAUUUGAAAAAUAAGUUGGUUUUGAGAAGACAGUUCCUGAAGUUCUCUUUAAACUUUAUAACUCUUACUUCAUGAUUCUUUAGUAAUUAAUUUCAACAAGUUUUGCCAGUAGAACCUGGAUCAGGCUUCGUAGUUCUGAGUUUGGAGUUCUUUUGGUGGGUUUGGGCAGUAAACUGAUAAGGAGUCAUGAAAUCCUCAAGCAUAAUUCAAAACAACAUCCAUUUGAAUUCCUUUUCAUUUUAAACUAGAAACGGCAUGUCCCAUGCCUCUUCCUGUGUACAGGAGGAAUUGAUACCCCAAAGCUGUGCGGAGAGAGCUGUGGUUUGGGUAACUCUACCAAGAGGGAUGCCUGGGCUUGCAGUGGGAAAUCAUGACUGGGGGAUUACGUGUCACUGCGGUACUGCAAGUCAAAGCAAAGGGUGAACAGGUCAGCCCAUCGAGGUGGAAAUGUUUUGUUCUCUUUUUUUCUCCCACGUACAGGAUAAGACCUGGAAUGAAGUCAUGGAAACACAGCAGAAAUUUCCUACUAAUCAAUUAGACUGAGAAAGUAGCAAGAGGCUGUGUGGGAACGCUUCACGAGUGAGUGCACUUAUUUCUUGGACCACUUACUAGUUCUUAUGAUGAUGGUAAUGCUGGCUUUAAUUUUUGUAGUAGAUGGAAAACAUUACUUCUUUGAGGACUUGUUUCUUUCUCCAAUGCUAAAGAUAGAAACUUGGAGGGGCUCCCCUCUUUCAGGGGGUCUUAAGGAAAUGUUACUUAUUUUUGGUCAUCAGCAUGGUUGUCUCUUCAUUCUUUUCUUAAACGUAGCUUCUCAGGAUUGGGUGAGACGUUCUAAGUCACCUAGUUCGGCUCCCCAUGUCAUGUCUGAAUCGCUUCUGUCUAAUUCUCACCCUGUGUUCACACACUGCUCCAGUUAGGGAGCUCCCAACCACCGUGAAGGCAGCCAUUCCAUCUCUGGUCAGCUUCGUCUUUUGCUCCCUCAUGAAUAGUGCCAGGAAGCUGUUUUAUCAGCCUCAAGGCCACAGUCGCAGAUUUCCAGGGCAACCAUCCGCAUGUAACAGGGGGUUGAAUUAUACAGCGUACUCAUGAUGUCUCUCAUGUAAAUGGUGACCUCAGGGUUGUGCGGUGCUGUGGCCCUGAUCUGGGGAGUCUCUGAGAGAAAACUCCUGCUGGAAGAACCACAGGGCCAGGCAUGAAAAGGGAGCAAAUGCCAUCUAAGACCACAGAGGAGGAUGGGUGACAUUGCUCCCAAGGUUGCCUCUGCCCAUAAGCACUUUUUAAUCCUGGCUGAUUCUCACCCUCAGACAGGAAAAGGAAUUGUGUUGGGAAACAUGCGUUAAAGUCUUAGAUCUUCCUCUGAAGUGUCAUGGGAAUGUAGGAAAGGCUCAUCUUCUAUUUCAUAACUCAGAAGUUGGCAUGUGGUUUCUAUAAAGGUCCAGAUAGUAAAUAUCUUAGGCUUUGCUGGCCAUGUGGUCUUUAUUGCAACUAUGCAGCUCCUCCAUUGCAGUGCAGAAGAAGCCAUAGAUAAUUCGCAAAGAAAUACAUCUGUGGUGGUGCUACAAUAAAACCUUAUUUACAAAAACAGGUAGCAGACCUGGUUUAUCCCACAGGCUGUCAUUUGACAAUUCUUGUUCUAAGCUAUGAAAGGGGGAUGAUGGCACCAUCUCUGGCUGCUGUGUUGUAGUAUCUCAUCAUUGUGAUGAUCAGAUUAGUUUCCUUUGAGAUCUACCGCGUGCUAUACAAAUGUUAGUUCUUUUCUGUAAGUAAUAUUUAUUGUGUGAGCUAAAUACUUUACCAGCAAAAUAUGAACCACAAAGACACUCAGAAAGUUAGAGACCAUAUCAGUACAGAAAACUAGCUUAAGUAGGAUAGGGUCUUACUGACCCAUGUGACUGUGAAGUCCAAAGGUAAAAGAGAAUUCAAGGUUGGUUUGAUGAGGGGGCUCGAGACCUAGGACAGAAUUUCUUUGUGUCUCUCCUCCCUGCCUUUCAUGAUAUCAGCUUCAUCCUAUGGCUAGCUUCUGUUUUAGUCACAGCAUAGCUGCAGUCCUAGAGGCCAUGGAGAGAGAAAGAAAUGGAUGGGGAGAGGGAAAAAGAGGGAGAAUCCCUUCCUAGCAGCAUAGUCAAAGUCUUCAUUUUCAUUCUGAUUGGACUGGCUUAAGCCACAAGCCCACUCCUGAACCAGCUACCCUCAUAAGGAAGGAAAGCUCAUUGGCUUCAGGCAGUCCCAUUCAAGGUAUGAGGAGGAGCCAGUACUGUGAGGUGAACACCCAGAUGUUAGGGAAGGGGGCAGCACUGCUCUGGGUGGGGACCAUCGGGUGUUCACUGCAGGGCACUGACCGCCUGAGCUCUACUACGUCCCUUGACCUAAAAAAUAGCACAGAAGUUUCUGUCCCAUUAUAAGCUACAUAAGCUUUUCAGACUGCCAUUUUCUGUUUUUAAAAAGGCCAAUUUGAGUUUAUUUUCAGAUGCUUCAGUGUAUUUAGAGUAUAUAAUACCUCCCUUUACAUAAUCAAUGUGAAUUUCCCAAAGUUUCUUAUAAAUUGGAAUUUUGUAAGUCAAAAAUAUAUACACUGAAAGACUCAAUAUUUUUCUUAAAAGGCAAAAAUUUCUAUAAAGCAAAGAAUCCUAUAGCACAAAGAUGAUUUCUUUUAAAUUUUACCAAUUUGUCUGAAAUAAUGAUUUCUGUUUCUUAUAGUUAAAUGUUUUAAAUGCUUGGAUAUUGAAAGAUUUCUGGAUAACCAAUACUGCGUGGAUUGGAGGAGGCUCUAAAUCGGUGGUUCUCAAAGUGUAGUCCCUGGACCAGCAGCAUGAAUCACUUGGGAACUUGUUAGAAAUGCAUAUUCUCAGACCCCAUCAGAGACCUUCUGAAUCAGAAAGGCCUGGGGAAGGACCCACUCAUCUUUGGUUUAACAAGACCUCUAGAUGAUCUGAUGCAAAUUUAAGGACCAUUCCCUGCAUUAAGUAAUAAGGAAAUGAGAAUUGGAGAACAAUGGCAGUCUCAAGUCCAGUCUUUUCACACCUAUAAUUCUUGAAAUAAUUGGUCUCUUUGAAUGCUUCACCACAUUUAUACAAAAUAUUCCUGUUUCAGUAAAUUGAUCUCUUAAUAAAAUGAGGGGCAGGUUAUCUGUGAGCAUUGUAAUUCUUAACUUAGAUUAAUUCUUUCUUAACUUGCUGUGGUUUCCUUUGUAGGAGAGCAUCAAAUCAAGUAAUAAUAACCUAAAAGCUCCCUUAAUGUUUUCAUUAAUAUUUAAUGCCUUUAUCUAAAUCUGAACAUUUUAGCACUUACUAGAAAUUAACUGAUGGGUCCUCUAUUUUUAACUUUCUGAAAGGAAAGAAUAUUUGGGUCUUUUGCAGAGGAAGGAAUACAAUAGAACUCAAUGUGAAUGUCUUAGUCUCAAGUAAGUGGUGUUGGCAAGAAGAGACGCUUGGGAGGGUUCUUUGGCCCUGGGAGGCGAGAAAGCCCGUUUGAACAGAUUCUGUUGAACGGGAAUGUUGUUAGGGCUCACACAGCAACGGCAACUUCAUGCAGAAGAAAGAGCACAUUUCCCAUACGUUCUCUGGAGCCCAAAUGUCAUCAUUUGUAUUUAGCACAAUUCUUAACCAUUGAAGAAACUGGUCUCUGAAUUGUUUUGGAAAAUUAUUCUCAGGAGAUUGAUGUUUAAUGUUCUUACAAAGGGCAAGUAUCAAAAUUGAAAAACAGAAAGUAAUGUGCAUUUAGUUUUUUAAAGAUCUUCGUGAAUACAUUGAAGUGUCUACAAACUCAUGAAGAUCUCCUGGAUGUGGAUUUACGGAGGUUUCUGCAAACCCAGAGGAGUUAAGUGAGACAAAGUAGGAAGGUUCCAUUCGCCAUGUUUUAAAAUUCACCAGAGGACUCUGAAAAUUCAUGCUUCAUCUGUUCUUAUUCCGUAUUGGAAUAUGAUUUCCUCCAUGUUCCAUCUCUCUUAUAGCCUUAUGGUCAGGAGUUUUAGGUUAAUAAAGAGGAAAUCUGAACAUUCAUUGACAUCUUUGCAAUAGAUUGCAGUCAUUCGUUAGCUUUCAGUAACAUUUCCAAAAAGAUUUCCCUGGCUGUUUAAGAAGGUAAGCAUAGUGCUCACUAAAGCACAUGUAUUAAAAUUGAAACGAUACAGAAAUUAGCAUGGUUCCUGCACAAGGAUGAUGUGCAAAUCUGGGAAAUGUUCCAUCUUUUUUUUUUUUUUUUUUUUUUUUUGAAUACAAGCUCUAGAACACCUUCUAGAAUAUAUUCAGGAACCCAUCUUGUUCACUACUGUUUCCAGAGGACCUCAAACAGUGCCCAGUGCCUGGGAGGACUCAGUAAGUAAUGUUGAAUACAUGAAUUUCCUCAGUAAAAAUGUUGAAUACAGAAAAAGACACAACAAACCAUAUUCUUGAGAU